UGUGUGUGUGUGUGUGUGUGUCAAAUACAUACCUUCAAAUAAGAAUGCAGCAAGGUUGCACUCUUAGGCUGAAAUGUGAUCAACUUGAUGACCUUAAUUAUGCCUCUGAUCCAGUGACAUGCUUAAUUUAUAGUUGUCUUUAUGCCUCUUAUUAAACACAUUUAUAGUUAUUGCACACUUAUGUUCUUAUUUAUUUGUUUUGAUUCUAUCUAUUAAUUGUUGUCCCGUGCGGG
rnacentral:misc_RNA from 1 species